ensembl:snoRNA
UCCUCCUACACAGCCAUGUCUCUGGUUUCCUAUCCUUGGACAUCUAAGAAUUGGAGGCAAAGAAAUGUGGAUUUGGAGAAGUUUGGGGCCGGCUUGCUCCUCGCAGGCUCUGCAGUGCCCCCAUUCCACACUG